GCGGAUACGGCUGCCUAUAAAAGGCGACGAGGAGACUGCGCAAGCGCAAUGAGGGACUGAAGGGACGAAGAGAUGGAGGAAGAGGAGCACGAGGUCUAUGGAGGCGAGAUACCCGACGAGGCUGACAUGGACGCCGACGUAGACAUCGGCCGCUCCGACGAGGACGCUGCUAAGUUGCAGGAACUCGACGAGAUGAAGAAGCGGCUCAAGGAGAUGGAGGAGGAGGCCGCCGCUCUCCGGGAGAUUCAGGCCAAGGUUGAGAAGGAGAUGGGCGCCGCCCAAGGUCCGAUCUCCUCUCCGUCGCUAGACCCUGCAGGUUCGGCAGCAACACAAGCAAGCAAGGAGGAGGUUGAUGCUCGUUCUGUAUUUGUUGGCAAUGUGGAUUAUGCUUGCACACCUGAAGAAGUACAGCAGCAUUUCCAAUCAUGUGGGACGGUUAACAGGGUUACCAUCCUGACAGACAAAUUUGGUCAGCCGAAGGGUUUUGCCUAUGUUGAAUUUCUGGAGCUCGAGGCUGUUCAGGAUGCUCUUCAGUUGAAUGAAUCUGAACUGCAUGGUCGCCAAAUCAAAGUUGCUGCUAAACGUACUAAUGUUCCAGGAAUGAAGCAAUUCCAUCCAAGGCGGUUCAAUCCCUACAUGGGAUACCCAUAUAGGAGGCCCUACAUGCCACCAUACUUUGCCUCCCCUUAUGGAUUUGGGAAGGUGCCUAGAUUCAGAAGGCCAAUGCGCUUUAGGCCUUAUUACUGAUCAGUUGCGAGCCUUGUUAGCUAGUAUGCCAUUGGUGCAACCGUUAUGGGAACAUCGCUGAGCCAGUUUGCUUUAUGAUGGAUAACAUGUGCUGCUUUCGACGAGUCCCCAACCGCUGAGCCUUUGGAUUAGUCGUACGGCUUGAAGGGUUACUUGAGAUGGCGGGGUUAGUGUUUUGCUUUUAUACAUGUUUCCACUGCAGUAUGGAAUCAUGAUUACUCACGCCUA